rnacentral:lncRNA from 1 species
UGGAAAACCCAUCCAUUUAGAUACGGCUACUUUAAAUAAGACAAGACCAAGUUGUGCUAGUGUUAGGGUACAUGUGGAUUUACUUACUGAUCUACUCUCAUUUGUAGAGAUGGAGAUAUUGAAUUCAAAUAAUGGUGAAUCUAAAAUAGAGUGUGAAGAUUCAAUAUGAUUUUUUUUACCUAAGUAUUACAAGAAGUGUUUGUUAAAAGGACUCAAUGAACUUGAUUGUAGGGUACUAUAUCCUGAGCAAAAAUAGGUGGUUAAAGCAAAUAUGAAUAAUCCAUUAAAUAAUCCUCAUAAUGCAGUAGAUAGCAGUGAUAAAAGAAAAAGACAAGGAUAUCAGUAGAAUCUACUAAAUCAGUGGCAUCUUACAAGUAGAAGAUUUCCUAAUAAAGGGUACCAAGAUGAUAAAUCUAUCUAACCUGAGAAAAUAGAUACUGUUAACAAAUUCAAUGCUCUAACUGAGGAAAUUAAGAAGAACCUGCAGUAUAAUAACAAAAGUAUUAGAUCAGAGAAUAAGAAGAAUGAUGCUAUUAAUAUUAGAGAAGGGACAAAGGGGAUGUCGACAAAAGAUUGGGUCACCAAGUCUUUCCAUCAACAAGAUGGAUCAGUUCUUCCAAGGAUCUUGGAUCAAGAGGAACCUGCCGAAAAGAAGAACAUUAGAUUGGAGCAAAUUCAGCCAUUUACUAGACGUAAUGUUAAAAAUAUAGAAGUAAGGGGUAAGAAUCAGGAAAGCCAGUAUAUCUAGAAGAGUCCCAAAAGUAAUGUUAGUGCUGUUAAUUUAUCCUCCAAAAAUAAUAAGUCUAAUGAAUCUAUUGUUUUGGAGAAGGGAGAUGUUAAUCAGGAAGAGGUAUCUAAUAAGAGUUUAGAUAUUGUGGACAUUCCUUUAGCUAUGGAAGAGCCCGUGGAUACAGUGUGGACUGGAGAUUCAGUUCAACCCAAUUCAACACUUUAUGAUAUAAUUACUCAUCAGUUUGAUAGAGUAGAGGGAGUUGUAGGUCUGUUAUAAUAGAGCAAGGAAGAAAUUCCUAAUGAGAACUUAGAUGAGAAGAUUUUAAAAGAUGCAGAUAUUUCUCCCAGAAUUAAUAAAGUGAUUAAGCAAGUAAAGAGAAAUAAGAAGUAGCAUGUUAGUGAAAAUUCUGUGCCUAGCAGAACUCGGCCUAAAAGGAGGAGUGUCAACUAUUCUAAUAAGAAAUGAUGAAAGAACUUGUGAGGAAUAUUAGAUCAAUGAAGUCCCAACAGGCUUUCUGGAGAGUACAAAUGUUGAAAAUAGGGUACAUUAGUUUUCUUUUGUAGCUUUAUUGGAACCAUUUCAGCAUGUCAGAAACUUUAUUAAGUACAGAGGUAGGUUGCAGAUGCCAUAUAUGUUUCAUAACUGCAAUGGUAAUAAUGAUUUCAAUGCCAUAAUUGAGAGUGAUAUUGAACAACAUCUCUCUUUGCUGAUUCAUAAUUAAUCCAUGGGAAUAGAUUUCAUGCUGACAAUUGUAUAUGCUAGAUGUGAUAAGUAUGAAAGGUUGGAAUUAUGGGACAAUAUCUUUGCCAUUGCCAAUAGAGUUUCAAGCCCUUGGCUCAUGAGAGGUAAUUUUAAUACAAUUCUUAAUGCUUCAAAAAAGAUAGGUGUAGUGUCAGUUAGUGCAGAAAAUGUAGAGUACUUUAGAGAUUGUAUUGAAUCUUGUGAAUUGACACAAAUUAUUCAUAAAGUCAGUCCCUUUACUUGGUGGAAUGGAAGAGCUGGAAGGCUUGUAUAUUUGAAAAACUGGAUAGGUUAUUUGUUAAUGAAGAGUUUUAGAAAAGGUUUAAUUCGCUAGAGGUGGAACAUCUAGCCAGAGAUGGAUCUGAUCAUGCUCCUUUAUUAUUAACUUAUGGAAAUUCUUAGAAUAUGGUUCAGAAGCAAUUCAAAUUCUUGAACUUUUGGACAUAUCAUUCAAAAUUUAAAGAAGUUGUUACAAGGAACUGGGAUUAUGAUUAUUUAGAAAAUCCUUUUAAUGACUUUAAAAGGAAGAUAAAAAAGUCAAAAAGCUCUGUCUAUAUGGAACAAAAAGUCUUUUGGAGACAUGUUUCAACAACUGAUUAUUAGAGAGGAGAUUGCUAAGGUGAAAGAAAAACUAUUUUAGAAAAACCCAACUGCAGUGAAUAGAACUAUGAUUUAGAAGGCUAGAGUUGACUAUUUGAAGUAUCUUAAACUGGAGGAAAGAUAUUAGCAACAGAAAGUAGGGUAUUACUGGUUUGAAAGUGGAGAAAGAAAUAUUAAGUUUUUUUUCAUAGCAUUGUAAAAGGGAGAAAAAAUAAGAUGAAAAUCUCUUUCUUGAUGAGAAUGGUUACUAGUUAAAAGAUGAAGGCCAAAUUGCUGAGGAGGCAAUAAAAUUCUAUCAAAAAUAAUUCACACAAAAAAGAGAUACAACUAAAUUUCCAUUAUUGAAGAAUAUCCUAGAGAUAAUUACUAAGAAGGAAAAUGAGAUGAUGCAGGCCAUUCUGGAUGAGCUAGAGAUUAAAGAGGUAAUUUUCAAGUUAAAUGGAAACAGUGCUAGUGGACCAGAUGGACUAAUAGAAAGAUUUUUCAGGUUUUCUGAGAUAUCAUUGGUGGAGAUUUGAUGAGGUUGGUUAAGAGUUUGUUUGCAGGUAAUAUCCUCCCAAAAUCUAUUACUCAUACUAAUUUGAUUCUCAUUCCUAAAAAGGAUGAUGUGUAGUCCUUUUCAGAUUUGAAACCUAUUAGUCUUAGUACUUUAAUCAAUAAAAUCCUGUCUAGGAUUAUUCAUGAUAGAUUGGAGGGUAUUCUACCAAAUCUGAUAUCUCCUAAUCAGUCAGGUUUUGUUAAAGGAAGAAGUAUUAUUGAAAAUGUACUGCUAGCUCAAAAACUGAUUACUUAUAUAGGGAAGAGAGGAAAACCUUCUAAUGUAGUAUUGAAUCUUGACAUAGCUAAAACCUAUGAUAUGGUUUCAUGGUUUUUAUUAAUGAAGGAUUUAAGAAAAAUAGGUUUUUCUAAUGCAGUGGUGUAACCCCCCCGAAAAAUGGGUUCCGAGACGUCACACGGUGCUUAGGAACACAAGUGAUCCUAAGCUAACCCUUGUACUGGCAUACUGCUAAGCAACUGAUUUACACAUGUAUAAAAUGACUGAAGUUACUGUGCAGAAAUAUAAUCAUGAUGAAAUCUAGAAAAAAAUACAAUACUGAUACAAUUUUACAUUCUGAUAAAACCGAAGAGCAGAACUGAAAUUACAUGACUGACAUCUGUGAAGCCUCUACUAUACUGAAUAUAGAUAGCUGGGACGCGAAUCCAACUACCACUAAUCAAUACAUAUGAGUAAGAAAGUAAAAUACAUAAAUAAUAUCUAACUGAAGUCCCCGAAGUAUGAGGACUUAUCAUCUGCUGGCUGGAAUCUGCAACUGUCUGAUCGUGAUAUAUGGACUACAAUGGAAUUGUUACCUACAUUAUUAAACAAUGUAGCACAUAGACGUAUAUGUGGAUCAGUACUUUUGAAAUGUACUGAGCAUAUGGGGGUGAAUGCAUAAGUAAAACAAUAUCUCAAUGUUUGUAUAAACUUAUAAAAUAAUGCAUGCUAAGUAUAAAUGACUCACAUUGGCUAGAAUAACUAAAAGAUGAAAAUCAUGAAUCAUGAAUGAUAAAACAUACUGUAUAAAUCUUGUGAGUCAUAACACUUAGUUCUAAAAGCUAUACUUUUACUCUUUCUGCUAGUGGACUAAGUAAAAUUGAAGUUAAGUCUAUUUUCAAAUCAUACAGGCUAAGUGAAAAAGGACUCACCUUUGUAUCUGUAAACUAAAAGAUGAAAUCUCAUAGAUAAUGACUUAUGUAAAACAAUAUCUGCAUAAAAUUGUGAGCCUUUACACUUGGUUUCUAAAAGUUAUUCUAUUAGUCUAUUUUAGGACUUAGGCUUUAGGGAGGUUCUUUUAACCGACAUACACUAUGUGAGCUAUCAUAGUGUCCAACGUCUAGUUUCUCUAAGGGGAAAAUCUCACGUUAGGGAGAGAUUUCAUACUCUUACCAAGGAGUAUAACCUGAGCUAAGUGAUCAUAAUCUGUAUCUGUAUCCAUAUACAAAUUGAAUAUAAUCUGAAUUUGUACCUACAUUGGCUCGUAGUUCUAGAAAAGUAGGAUGUGCUAAACCCACACUUCCCACUCGGUGCUAAAUACUACUCUCUUUAAUCUGUAUGCUCAAUCUGUAGGAAAUCCACUUUAAAACUAGCAUGAGGGUUUACUAUGAAAACCAGUUAUGCAUCUGUUUACUUUAAACUGUAAUCAAAUCUGUAAAGUGGAUUCCAUAACUAAACUGAGGAUCAAAAGAUCAAAUCUUGUUCAACAUCUGAGUAUAAACUAAUCAUAUGAUGCUUGAAUGCAUAAUAUUUUUGAAAUAUCAAUAUUUAAUCUAGGGUUUAAUAACCAUGCUUUAAAUUUAUGUCAAAUCAAAAUAAUACUUCAUGCUCAAUAAUCUUCUUGAAAUACUUCAAUAAUUUCAGUCAAGAUAAUGAAAUCAAAAUUCCAAUAUGAAUAUUAUGGAUCAAAACAUGAGCAUGCAAAAUCUUGAUGCACUAAAGACUUUGAAUCUCAUGCUUUCUGUCAUAUAACUUGCAACAUAAUAUCAUGCUUAAAUCUUAAUUGAAAAUCUUUAAAUCAAGCAUAAAUAGAGGAGAACAAGCAUGUACUUUUACACAUAAAUCAAUUUUCAAAUCCAUAAACUCAAAACAAGAUAAGUUGGGUAUGAACCCUAAUUGUAAUAUACGUAAAUUCAACUUUAAAAACUAGUUUUGGGCACAAAGAUGAAAGAGUAUCCUUGUUCAUAACCCCACAUACCUUAUUUGAUAAAUUGAAUCUGAAAGCUUGAACUUUGAAUCUCUAAUGAUGUUCUUGAAGCUUAUUCUUGAAGUUCUUGAACCCGGAUGCUUGGAUUAUUAACUUUCUUGGAGAAAAUUUGGUAGAGUUCUUGGUGUUCUUGAAGGGGCUAGGGUUUUCUUAGAGAGAAAGAGAUGAAUUAUGAUGUAUCUAAUACUUUUGGAGAUGAAAUUAAGUGUUAUGGACGGAUUUGGGUGAGGGUAAGUGACCAAAGUGCCCCUAGACCCUUUAGGAACUGAAAUAGUGUGUAAAACAGUUCCGUAAUAGGAUUACCAUUGUGUCGAUGAUCAACGCGUCGCGUCCCUAUCUCGUCGACUUACUGCCUCACAUGAAAAAUGCCAUAAAUUUUUGCUCGGGUAUCAGAUUAAGGCAAAAUUGGUAUUGUUGGAAAGAUAAUUCAAUUAUCUACAAUUUGGUGGGUCUUGAGCUUCAAAAUUCUAUGUAUAUAAAAAGUUAUACAUGUUCAAAGUAUACCCUUGUAGAAUCGAAUAUCAACUUUUGACGAAUCAAAGGCUCUAAGCUUAACUUCUUGAAGGGGCUAGGGUUUUCUUAGAGAGAAAGAGAUGAAUUAUGAUGUAUCUAAUACUUUUGGAGAUGAAAUUAAGUGUUAUGGACGGAUUUGGGUGAGGGUAAGUGACCAAAGUGCCCCUAGACCCUUUAGGAACUGAAAUAGUGUGUAAAACAGUUCCGUAAUAGGAUUACCAUUGUGUCGAUGAUCAACGCGUCGCGUCCCUAUCUCGUCGACUUACUGCCUCACAUGAAAAAUGCCAUAAAUUUUUGCUCGGGUAUCAGAUUAAGGCAAAAUUGGUAUUGUUGGAAAGAUAAUUCAAUUAUCUACAAUUUGGUGGGUCUUGAGCUUCAAAAUUCUAUGUAUAUAAAAAGUUAUACAUGUUCAAAGUAUACCCUUGUAGAAUCGAAUAUCAACUUUUGACGAAUCAAAGGCUCUAAGCUUAACUUUGUUCCAAGUGAUUCUUACAAACAUUUUUCUCCUUGAAUACACAUCAAACACGAGGAUAAAGAUCAUGAAACUUAUAUUCACAUGGUAAUCAUUUGGAUUAUAGAUCAUACACAUAGGAAUGACGGUUCAAAGACUAGCCCAAAAAUACAGUGUAUUACAUUAUCUCCCCCUUGGUAACAUUCGUCCUCGAAUGAGGCUAAUUGGACUGAGGGUACUAAGGCAACUAUGAUUAUAUUCUAAACAUGCAUGACUGAAAACAUGAUUGCAUAACUACUCCUGAAACAUGAUACAUGAACUGAACUAAUUUCUUGACUACAUGCAAUGACAUGAGAAUGGUUAUAAGGCUGAGAUAGGAACGAGAAAGUAGACUUGUGAGUAACUAUUACUUUAGACUGGAUCUAGUUUCGUGAAGAAAAGAUGAAAGGUUUAGGACAUGAAUGCUCGGGGUAUUACAAUACAUUUCUCCCUUGGGAUAUUUUGUCCCCAAAUAAUACUGACUUGGCUGAAAUACUAAGGAAAGAUAGAGAUGAUGCACGGGACACUUACAGACUGAAUCAUAACUGAAUAUCUAGAAUUUGAAACUGAUGCAUGAUGCAUGAAUUGAUCUAAAUUCACAAAUUACAUGGAUACGAACAAACUACCUGUUGAAAUGGCCAUAUUCAUGAGACUUCAGAUAGUAAGACUAGAUGGAAAGUUGGAAAUCUAUAGGAGCUUAUCUGAUUGACUGCUAAACGGGAUUGCAGGCUAUAUGGACUGGAUCAUACUGACUGCCCAUACUCAAAUGUAGUAUUUCUUCAACACUCUUCUACGAAAUUCUAAUAAUAUUAGAGAGUGAAGAAUCUUGGACAUAAUCUAAAUUAGACAUCUGACUAAGAAAUCACAACCUUGAUACAAUUCUAUAGCUUAGAACAUAGGCAUAUAAAUCGUAAGCUAGGAUACAAUUACUAGGCCUUAAGCAAUGCAACUUCUUACUUUCAAGCUUAGCAACACUUCUCAAAUACUCCUUCAACUAUGCUAUUCCCCUUAAAUACCAGAUUCAUUGAUUCAACUUCUAAUUCUCACAUGGUCGUUCAUAAAUCCAUCCAAAUAGGUCUUAAACCUCACCCAAAAAAUCUGAAACUUACACGAUAUGUGCUAUCAACAACUUCGAUCAUGAAUUCACUUAAAGAUUUCAUUCCAAGGCCGAGAAGGUCGGAAACUAAUGUGUACUACAUUCACCCACUUAUACACAAACAUGAUAUUCAAGCCUAUUGUUAUAACCACAUAUGAACGUCUAAACAAACACCCAUAAUAGCAUACUCCUCAUAUUCUCUAAACCUCUAUCACAACAACUCCCAUGCACUACCCCAAGAACAUAUACACACAAAUUUCAACUAACCACAACAUGUAUCAAAGAGUUAGCCUCAAUCUUAUUUCACACUUAUGGACUUAGCUAAAACAAGCAUACAAUGAUCUUUCAUCAACAAGAAAUAUUUACUCAUCACUACUAUCAUUACAUAAGGAGGGGUCACUGAAAUGUUAGAACAUGAGACCUUGAAGCAUGGAAGGAUACUAUACAUAACUUGACACUUAAAUGAGGCCUGAGGAAUAGAGGAUCAACAUCAUGAAUUUAUCAAAGAGAUCUGAAUUAAGGGCAUACAUGGCUAUAAGCUAAAUCUUGCUGAUCAUUAGGAGUGUAGCAUGAGUUAUGGGAACUGAGAAUAUUAUAAAGCAUGACUACAUAAGUCAUGAGCUACAUGACCUGAGUUUGGAGUUCAUAAAUUCCUGGAAGAUGAUUCGAAUUGCUGAAUGAAAUGGAACUCCUCAUACUAGGGACUAGGAGAAUACAUGAUUUUCUAUGAUAUUCAUGAACAAAACUAUGAUCAUGGAGAUGACACACAAGGCAUGAGUAGAUAUCCUGAUGACCGAAGUACUAAUACUGAAAUAAGAAUGAGCUGGGCAUCUUUUUCCCACACUGGCAGCACAACUAGAAUCUGACUUGGUUAGUUAUCCUAUAGUCUCCCCCUUAGCUUUAAGACAUCAUUUUAAGUCUGUGGAGACCCUUUACUAAAUUCUAACUGAACUGCAACCACUUUACUCUAGAGCCUGGGAUAUAACAAUACAUGUGAAUAAUAGAACUUAACCCGAAAGACUACACCUAAAAGUGUAAAACCCACUGCUCAUACUUCCUUCUGAGAUACAACUCUCUAUUUCUAUAGCCUCAAUAGUUAUCAUAUAAUACUUGAACACGUAAUAACUUAGAAUCUUCAUGAGUAUCCCCAUAGCCGGAGUGAACACCAUCUAGUGCUUCAACUCUUAUUUUUAUUAGCUCAAUCUUCAAAGACUCAAACUUAGAUUCUAACACUUAACAUGGAUAUCACCAAAUAUUUAAUGAGCCAUAUUACUUCCAUCAUAGCCCAUCAAUAUCAUCCCUCUAAAAUUAUAUUUCUAAAUCAUGAGAAUCAAGAUCAUAUCAAAAGGCUCAACAUCAUCAAUCAUAACUCCUUAACUUGGCUAUUAAGAACACCAUGCACUAUAUAGCUAGCCUUUUUCUACUUAGCAACUCAAGGGUACUACUAACCACACACAACACUUAAUAACCUUAGAAAAUAAUGCAAUCCCAUAUCACCUUGGGCACACCUCUACAUCAUAUCUACAACAUCAUACUUAAUCUCAAAUCAAUAAACUUAAAUUCUUGCAUUCACCGUUUCAAGCCUAUUGGUUCACCUCCAUAUAACUAAUAUCACUAACCAAGCAACCAUUACAUCAACCUUGAUGAUCAUCCAGUGUUCAACUUAGUGUCUAGGGAUAGGCAUGAUUAACAAUCCAACCUCACAUACUAUUCUCCCUAGAAAGCUAUAAAAUAAGACAUUAAGAAAUACUAGUCCACUAGAACCCCAUAAUAACAAUAAUUGAUCACGAACGUAUGGCCUAUCUUAUUAUAAUCCAUUAGCACAUCCUCCCUCUACACAUCACUACUAUUCACCCAUCUAUACACCUAAAUUUUUUUCAUAGUUCUAUAAGUUUCAACUAAACUCCUUUUUGCAAUCUCAAGGGAAGCCUAAAUUAACAAUACUAAACCACUAAAUACUUCAUUAAUAAUCUAUACUUUUCUAACACAAUAAUUACCAUUAAUAACUCCUUUCAUACUUGAAGCAAACAAUAAUUCACCUUAACUAAUAACUCCUUCUCUACCUUCUACUAAACUAACACACCAGGACAUAUCACCAUAAUGUAAAAUCUAUAGCAUACAUAAGUUUUAUAUCAAUAAUUUAUAUCAAUCAUCAUUCCCACUUUUCUUGUCACAACACUUCUAUACCCAUACUUCAAACUAUAAGAAGGUUCUAUUACUUAUGAAUCAUUACACUCCAGGUUGCAAUAUCCCUCAAAUUCAAACUCUAUUCAACAAUCUAGGUUCAUACUAUCUCCUCUUAUGAGCACUAUCUGUAUUGAAGGAAUAAUGAGAAAUUUGAAUGCAUAUCUUAUUCUACCUCAACUGAACAACUCAUAUGGAUGAGGGACAUAAAUUUUGAUUUGAGGAAAUUAUAACACACUAGUGAGCUCCUCUCAAGCCCCAUGUAUGACUUCUGAAGUUACUGAUAGUAAAUCUGAUAGCAUCAUCUUAGGAUGAAUUGGAACUUUCUAAUCAUGUGAUCUCAAGAAUAUGACAUAGAUGGAGAAUUAUGGAGUGACACAUGAAUCGACAGAAGUUUCUGAGAGAACUUUAAAGCACGAUCUAGAGUAUGAAAGAAAGAAAAAUUUUCUUAAAUUCCCUGUAGCCUCUCAAAGAAAAGUACAGACGUCUUCGUACUAUUUUUUAAGAAUCUACUAGACAUGGAUUCACAGACACCCUAGGACACUUGAAUCUUGGGCUCUGAUACCAAGUUUGUAACGCCCCAAAAUGGGUCCCGAGAUGUCACACGGUGCUUAGGACCAUAAGUGAUCCUAAGCUAACCCUUGUACUGGUAUACUGCUAAGCAACUAUUUUACACAUGUAUAAAAUGACUGAAGUUACUAUACGGAAAUAUAAUCAUGAUGAAAUCUAGAAAAAAAAUACAACACUAAUAUAAUUUUACAUUCUGAUGAAACUAAAGAGCAGAACUGAAAUUACAUGAUUGACUAUGACUAACAUCUGUGAAGCCUAUACUAUAAUGACUAUAGAUGGCUAGGAUGCGACUAAAACUACCACUAAUUAAUACAUAUGAGUAAGAAAGUAAAGUACAUAAAUAACGUCUAACUAAAGUCCCCGAACUAGGAGGACUCAUCAUCUGCUGGCUGGAAUCUGCAACUGUCUAAUCGUGAUAUAUGGACUACAACUGAACUGGUACCUACAUUAUUAGACAAUGUAGCACAUAGAACUAUAUGUGGAUCAUUACUUUUGAAAUAUACUGAGCAUAUGAGGGUGAAUGCAUAAGUAAGAUAAUAUAUCAAUGUUCGUAUAAACUUGUAAAAUAAUGCAUGCUAAGUAUAAAUGACUCAUAUUGGCUAGAAUAACUGAAAGAUGAAAAUCAUGAAUCAUGAAUGAUAAAACAUACUGUAUAAAUCUUGUGAGUCAUAACACUUAGUUCUAAAAGCUGUAUUUUUACUCUUUCUGCUAGUGGACUAAGUAGAAUUGAAGUUAAGUCUAUUUUCAAAUCAUACAGGCUAAGUGAAAAUGGACACACCUUUGUAUCUAUAAACUAAAAGCUGAAAUCUCAUAGCUAAUAACUUAUGUAAAACAAUAUUUGCAUAAAAUUGUAAGCCUUUACACUUAGGGGCCAUUUGGUGUGAGGUACUAAGACAAGUUAUCCCGGAAUAAAAUAAUAGUCCCGGGAUAAACUUUUUAAUACACCGUUUGGUUUGGCAAUAGUUGGGAUAACAUCCCGGGAUUAAUAAUAGUCCCUGGAUAAGUUAUACCACAUAUUUGGUGGUAUAAGUUAUCCCACCUUAAUUUAUCCCGGGAUAAAUUAUAAAAUGACAAAAAUAUCCUAAAUCCAUUACAAACACAUUUCUCCAAUCUUUUUCAUUAUCUUUAAUCAUUGCUUUUGAAAUUGAAAAAAAAUUAUUGAUAUCUACUUGAUUAUCUAAAACGUGUUAUUUAUGACAAAUUAAAAAGACUAAAAUAUCUUAUUUUGGAACGAAGGAAAUAUAUGACUAAGAAAAAUUAGCCUCUUAUUAAUUAAACUUUACAUUUUUUUUCAUUUCAUUGCUUGUGAAUUUUAUAAACUUAUACACUAUUUUCUUAUAUACAACAACAACAAACCCAGUGUAUUCCCACAUAGUGGGGUCUGGGGAGGGUAAGAUGUACGCAGUCCAUACUACUACCUCCGAUGAGGUAGAGAGGCUGUUUUCGAUAGAUCCCCAGCUCACGACACGCGAUACUAAUUAAAUCUGAAAUAAAGCAUGGGAAAGAUGAAAAUACAUAACUAAUCCACCCACAAAGUAUAAUUAACAAAUAAUAGUAAACAAAUACGUAAUAAGGCAUGAAACAAUGUGGCAUAACAAGAAAAGUUCACCCAUCCAGUAUUGCCCUACCUCAAUGACCCAAACUAUCACUAACCUUCUAUCCUGAUUUGCGUCCUCCAGAUCUUCCUAUAUAGGGUCAUGUCCUCAGUGAGUUGCAACUUCUCCAUGUCCUACCUAAUGACCUCUUUCCAGUAUUUCUUCGGUCUACCCCUACCCCACUUAAAUCCAUCCAAUGCUAGACGCUCACUACUAUGAAGCGGGGUAUCCGUUCCCCUCCUUAUCACGUGCCCGAACCAUCUCAAUCGAACUUCCCAGAUCUUGUCCUCCACUGAAGCCCCUUCAAUUUUUUCCUGAAUGGUCUCAUUCCGAACUCUAUCAGCCCUAGUAAUCCCACACAUCCAAUGCAACAUCCUCAUUUUUGUCACCUUCAAUUUUUGGAUGUGAGAGUUUUUGACUGGCCAAUACUCCGCUCCAUACAACAUGGUCAGACGAAAUACCACCCUAUAGAAUUUGCCUUUAAGCUUGGGCGGCACCUUCCUAUCACAUAACACCCAUGAGGUGAGCUUCCACUUCAUCCAUCCCGCCCUAAUAUGGUAGGAGACAUCCUCGUCAAUCUUACCAUUUCCCUGAAUCAUGGACCUAAGAUACUUAAAACUACCCCUCUUGCAAACUGCAUGGGAAUCCAACCUUACUACCAAGUCGUCCUCCUGCCUGAACUCAUUAAACUUGCAUUCCAAAUACUCUAUCUUGGUCCUACUCAACCUGAACCCUUUAGACUCAAGGGUCUGUCGCCACACCUCUAGUUUAUCAUUCACACACCCUCGCGUCUCAUCAAUCAAAACUACAUCGUCUGUAAAAAGCAUAGACCAAGGUACCUCUCCUUGAAUACGCCGCAUCAACACAUCCAACACCAAAGCAAACAAAAUCGGGCUAAGAGUAGAUCCCUGAUGUAGCCCUGUCAAGACAGGGAAAUGCUCUGAAUCUCCUCCCGCUGUCCUAAAUUGUGUCUUAGCUCCAUCAUACAUAUCCUUGAUUGCUCUGAUAUACACCAUCAGGACCCCACUCACCUCCAAGCAUCUCCGAAGAACCUUUCUAGGGACUUUUUCGUACGCCUUCUCCAAGUCGAUAAACACCAUGCAGGUCUUUCUUCAUUUCUCUAUACUGUUCUACCAAUCUUCGCACCAGAUGAAUUUCCUCUAUCGUCGAGCGCUCAGGCAUAAAUCCUAACUGGUUCUCUGAGAUAGUCACUAACCUCCUUAACCUCAACUCAACCACUCUCUCCUAAAUCUUCAUAGUGUGGCUCAAUAAUUUUAUCCCUCUAUAGUUGUUGCAACUCUAAAUGUCGCCCUUGUUCUUAUAUAACGGGAUCAUAGUACUCUAUCUCCAAGCCUCGGGUAUUUUUUUUGACUUGAAAAUGCCGUUAAUCAAAAUAGUCAACCAUCGCAAGCCGGUCUCGCCAGAAAACUUCCAAAAAUCCACUAGAAUCUCAUCAGGCCCCGUCGCCCUACCCCUACAUAUCCUGCAAACCGCCUCUUUGACCUCCUCUACCUUAAAGCGUCUACAAUACCUAAAAUCACAACACUCCUGAGAGUGCUCCAGAUUCCCUAACAUAAUAGCUCUAUCCCCUUCGUCAUUCAAUAACCUAUUAAAGUACAACUACCAUCUCAUCUUAAUGAGCCCGUCCUCCUCCAACACUCCACCAUUCUCCCCCUUAAUGCACUUCACCUGGUCGAGGUCACGACCCUUUCUCUCCCUAGCCUUAGCAAGCCUAAACAACUCGCCUCCUCAAAAUGCAAAAUUAACAAAUUAAAAAAUAAAAUAUGUUAGAUUCAAACAUAAUAAGGAUCAAAACUAGGUACUAUAAAUUUUUAUAUAUCCAACAAAAUGUACGUACUAUAAUUUUUUAAGCAUAGAAAAAUGGAAUUCAACAUCAACUUUUUCCUUCUAAAUUUUAUUUUUGUGAAUUGAUAACACAAAAAGUUCUUACUACACAAUGAAAAGAAUAACUAAAGUAAGUAGAUUUUAUAAUAAUAAUUAUCAUUCACUAGUAAUCUAUAAAAUAUUUUAACAACUACAAAGGCGUUGCCUAGUUUUAAUACACAUUAUCAUUUCACAAUCAACUCUAUUGUUCAAUUACAUAUUUUAAAUUAAAUAGUUCUUUAAUAACUUGAAAAUUGAUAUUGUAUAUAUCAAUUAAAAUGAAUUUUAAUAUUCUAUAUUAUAUGAGUAAUAUGUGUUUAAAUGAAGUGACAUAAACAACAAAUCUUCUUUUACUUUAACAAACUUAAGUUGGAAGUUUUUAAUUCAAACUAAAUAAGAUGUAGUAAGUUUUUUUUUUAAACGCACACGGUAUAAUCAUGGGAAGGCACAUGCAAAAAAAUUAAAGCUAAAUAAGAUGAAAGUUUUAUUUUUAAAAUACACAGAUAUAAACAUGAAAAUGCACACAUAAAAAAAUUAAGCUAAAUAGGAUGGAAGUUUUAUUUUUAAGAAUAAAUUUUUAAAGCUUGAAAACAAAUAUAUAUAAACAAAAAAGAAGUUAAAUAAGAUAGGGGUAUUUUGGUAAUCAAAUACUUUAUUCUUAGAAAUUAUACCAUGCAUAUUAAUUUGAAAACAACAAACCAUACAGUCAAUAAAAAAUAAUCCCAGCAUAACUAAUCCCAGUAUAACUUAUCCCAGCAUAACUAAUCCCAGCAUAACUACAUUCCCAACCAAACGACACCUUAGUUUCUAAAAGUUGUUCUGUUAUUCUGUUUUAGGACUUAGGCUUUAGGGAGAUUCUUUUAACCGAUAUACACUACGUGAGCUAUCAUAGUAUCCAACGUCUAGUUCUCCUAAGGGGAAAACCUCACGUUGGGGAGAGGUGUCAUACUCUUGUUAAGGAGUAUAACUUGAGCUAAGUGAUCACAAUUUUUACCGUAUCCAUAUACAAAUAGAAUAUAAUCAGAAUUUGUACUUAUGUUGGCUCGUAGUUCUAGGGAAUUAGGAUGCUCUAAACCCACACUUCUCUCUCGGUACUAAAUACUACUCCCUUUAAUUUGUAUGCUUAAUCUGUAGAAAAUUCACUUUAAGACUAGCAUGAGGGUUUAAUAUGAAAACUAGUUAUGAAUCUGUUUACUUUAAACUGUAAUCAAAACUAUAACAUGGAUUCCAUAUCUAAACUGAGGAUCAAAAGAUCAAAUCUUGUUCAAAAUCUGAGUAUAAACUAAUCAUAUGAUUCCUAAAAGCAUAAUCUUUUUAAAAUAUCAAUAUUAAAACUUGAGCUUAAUAACCCAUGCUUUAAACUCAUGUCAAAUCCAAAUAAUACUUCAUGCUCAAUAAUCUUCUUGAAAUACUUUAAUAAUUUCAGUCAAGAUAAUAAAUCAUAAUUAAAAUAUGAAUCUUAUGGAUCAAAACAUGAGCAUGCAAAAUCUUGAUGCACUAAAGCCUUUGAAUCUCAUGCUUUCUUUCAUAUAACUUGCAACAUAGUAUCAUGCUUAAAUGUUAAUUGAAAAUCUUUAAAUCAUUCAUAAAUAGAGGAGAACAAGCAUUCACUUUAACACUUAAAUCACUUUACAAAUCCAUAAACUCAAAACAAGAUAAGUUGGGUAUGUACCCUAAUUGAAAUAUAUGUAAAUUCAACUUUAAAACUAGUUUUAGGCACAAGGAUGAAAGUGUAUUCUUGAAGUUUAUUCUUGAGCUUUUUGAACCCGAAAGAUUUUAUUAUUAACUUUCUUGGAGAAAAUUUGGUAGAGUUCUUGGUGUUCUUGAAGGGGCUAGGGUUUUCUUAGAGAGAAAGAGAUGAAUUAUGAUGUAUCUAAUACUUUUGGGGUUGAAAUUAAGUGUUAUGAAUGAAUUUGGAUGAGGGAAAGUGAACAAAGUACCCCUAGACCCUUUAGGAACUUAAAUAGCAUGUGAACCAGUUCCGUAAUACAAUUGCCAUCAAGUUGUGCCACUAAUCAUAUUGAUGACCGACGCGUCGCAUCCCAAUCAUGUUGCUUGCUACCUUACACAGAAAAUGCCAUAACUUUUCGCUUGGGUUUUAUAUUAAGGCAAAAUUGGUAUCGUUGCAAAGAUAAUUCAAUUAUCUACAAUUUGGUGGGUCUUGAGCUACAAAAUUCUGCAUAUAUAAAAGUUAUACAUGUUAAAGUAAACCCUUGUAUAAUUGAAUACCAAACUUUGGACGAAUCAAAGGCUCUAAGCUCAACUUUGUUCUAAGUAAUUCUUAUGAAUAUUUUCACCUCGAAAGCACAUCAAACACAAGGAUAAAUAUCAUGAAAUUUAUACUCACAUGGUAAUAAUUUGGAUUUUAUCUUAUACAUGUAGGAACAAUGGUUCAAAGACUAGCCUGAAAAUGUGGGGUAUUAUAAGUGGUUGAUUUUAUUUAGAGAUUAUUAUCUAAUUAUUACUAUUUUGUCUUAUUAAAUGGAUAGUUUGUGGGUUUUUUUCACUCUACUAGAGGUGUCAAUCAAGGGUACCCUCUUUCACCUACAUUAUUUAUUUUAUCAGUAGAGGCGUUGACUAGAGCUCUUUACUAGUUUUCAAAGACUAGUCUUUUAUUGGUUUUUGUAUACCCAAAUGAAGUCCUGAAUUGAAUCAUCUUGCAUAUGCUAAUGAUAAAAUAAUUUUCACUUCUUCUAACGAAUACCCUAUUAAGAAGAUUAUGCAUAUUUUGAAUGAAUAUUAGUUAGAAUCUGGUCAAAUUAUUAACAGGGAAAAGAGAUUUUGUUAUAUGCAUUAUAAUUCUUUGACAAGUGUUGUGAUGUAUGUUGAGCAGGACAGUGGAAUGAGCAGAGAAAGUUUUCCUUUAAAAUAUCUUAGUUGUCCACUAUCUUAUUCCAAGAGGAAGAAGGGACAUUAUUCUAAACUGAUUGAUAAAGUUCAAAAUAAGCUAAAAAAAUAGAAGGGUAGAUUGUCAUCUUUUGGUGGAAAGGAAUUUCUUAUUAAAAGUAUUUUGCAGAGUAUUCCUAUUUAUACUUCUUUAUUAUUACAUACCAUAUACUGUGCUUGUGUUUUCUAUUUCCUGCUGUUGCUUGAUUACCAUCGUUUUGUGUUUUUUUGGGAGUUGUGGCUGUAGGAAUUCAUGCUAGGAUAGGGUCAUGUCCAAGGGGGUUGGGGAGGAGGCCUGUGUUGAGGGUGGGGGAGAAGAGAAGAACAAGUAAGGGAGAGGGGGUUAGGCCCAAUGUUCGAGGUGGUAAAGGUAGGGUUGCUAGAGUUGAUAGGCUGUGGGUUGGGUCUUGGAAUAUAGGUACUCUAUAGGGUAAGUCUAUAGAUCUAGUGAAGAUUAUUAGAAAGAGGAGGAUCAAUAUUGUGUGUGUGCAGGAGACUAAGUGGGUAGGGUCUAAGGCUAGGGAUGUAGAUGGUUACAAGCUGUGGUACUCUGGUAGUGAGAGGCAGAGAAUAGAGUUGGAAUCUUAGUAGAUAAAGAUCUUAGAGGGCAGGUAGUGGAGGUUAAGAGGAUCAACGAUAGGUUGAUAACUGUUAAGUUAAUCAUUGGGGGGCCUACUUUGAUCAUGUGUAGUGUUUAUGCACUACAAAUGGGCUUGGAUUGGGAGGAGAAGAUGCAGUUUUGGGAGGCAUUGGAUGAGGUGGUGAGAGGAGUGCCCAGUUCUGAGAAGAUUAUUGUAGCAGGAGAUUUCAAUGGGUAUAUUAGGGCGUUACCGGGAGGCUUUGGCGAUGUGCAUGGAGGUUUUGGUUUUAGGGAGAGAAAUGAGGAGGGAACUGCUCUGUUGGAUUUGCGAGGUCCUUUGGGUUGGUAGUGGUGAAUUUGAGCUUCUCAAAGAAGGACGAGCACCUAAUCACCUUUCGAAGCGCUAUAGCCAAGAUACAAAUUGACUUUUUGUUGCUUAGAAAAGGGGAUAGGGUGUUGUGUAAGGAAUGUAAAGUCAUCCCGAGUGAGAAUCUUUCACCCCAGCAUAGGCUCUUGGUGAUGGACUUAGGUAUUAAGAAAGAUAAGAAGAGAAGGGGUGAGGAGGGUAGACCUAGAAUUAAGUAGGGCGUCCUUACGUCGACAAAUGUGAGGGAGAUAGGGGAGAAGGUAGCGGGAAUAGGGGUGUGGGAGUGUAGGGGGAACGUGGAUGGUACGUAGGAUAGGGCAGCUAGGUGCAUUAGGGAGACUGCUAGUGAGGUGUUGGGUAUUUCUAGGGGUUGUGCCGGCCAUCGUUGGGGGUAUUAGUGGUGGAAUGAAGAAGUUAGAAAGAAAGUAGAGACUAAGAAGAGGACGUAUAAUAAGUUGGGUAAGAGUAGGGAUGAAGAUGAGAAGCGGGAUAAUAGGGAGGAGUACAAGAUAGCUAGGAAGGAGGCUAAGUUAGCAGUCACAGCGGCUAAGAUGGCAGUGUUCGAGAGCUUGUAUACGGGGUUAGAGGAGAAAAGAGGGGAAAAGUUAUUUUGGCUUGCUAAGGCUAGGUAGAGGAAGGGUCGUGACCUCGACUAGGUGAAAUACAUUAAAGGAAAGGAUGGUAGAGUAUUGGUAGAGGAUGGUCACAUUAAAAAGAGAUGGCAGUCGUACUUUGAUAGGUUAUUGAAUGAAGAAGGGGAUAGAGUUAUUAUUUUAGGAGAGCUAGAGCACGUAGAGGAGUGUCGUGAUUUUAGUUAUUGUAGACGUUUUAAGGGAGAAGAGGCCAGAGAGGCUAUUCAUAGGAUGAGUAGGAGUAGGGCGACGGGGCCUGAUGAGAUCCCUGUGGAUUUUUGGAAGUUCUCUGGAGAGGCUGGCUUAAGGUGGUUGACUGAAUUAUUUAACGACAUUUUCAAGUUGGCGAAAAUGCCCAAGGCUUGGAUAUGGAGUACUAUGAUCCUUCUUUAUAAGAAUAAGGGUGCCAUUCAGAGUUACAAUAACUAUAGAGGUAUUAAGUUACUAAGCCACACUAUGAAGAUUUGGGAGAGAGUGGUCGAGUUGAGGUUGAGGAGGUUGUGGCUAUCUCGGAAAAUUAGUUUGGAUUUAUGCCUGGGUGCUCGACGACGGAGGCAAUUCAUCUGGUGCGGAGACUGAUGGAAUAGUAUAGGAAAAGGAAAAGAGAUCAACAUAUGGUAUUUAUCGACUUGGAGAAGGCAUACGACAAAGUCCCUAGAGAGGUGCUUUGGAGAUGUUUGGAGGUGAGUGGGGUACCGGUGGCGUAUAUUAGAGAAAUCAAGGACAUGUAUAAUGGAGCUAAGACUCAGGUGAGGACGGCGGAAGGAGACUCAGAGUAUUUCCCUGUCUUGAUGGGGUUGUAUCAGGGUUCCACUCUUAGCCCAUUUUUGUUUUCUUUGGAGAUGGAUGUGUUGACGCGGCGUAUUCAAGGAGAGGUGCCUUGGUGUAUGUUUUUUGCAGAUGAUGUAGUUUUGAUUAAUGAUAUGUGGGGGGGGGGGGGAAUGAUAAAUUAGGGGUGUGGAGACAGACCCUUGAGUCUAAAGGGUUCAGGUUGAGCAGGAGCAAGAUAGAAUAUUUGGAAUGCAAGUUUAAUGACGUGAAGGAGGAAGAUGAGGUGGUAGUAAGGUUGAAUUCCCAGACGGAAUGUAAAAGGGAUAGUUUUAAGUAUUUGGGGUCCAUGAUUCAGGGGAAUGGUGAGAUUGACGAGGUUGUCUCCCAUCGUAUUAGAGUGGAAUGGAUGAAGUGGAAGCUCACCUCGGGGGUGUCGUGUGAUAGGAAGGUGCCGCCCAAGCUUAAAGGCAAAUUCUACAGGGUGGCAGUCCGGCCGGCCAUGUUGUACGGAGCGAAAUGUUGGCUAGUCAAGAACUGUCACAUUUAAAAAUUGAAAGUGGAAGAAAUGCGGAUGUUGCAUUGGAUGUGUGGGCUUAAUAGGGGUGAUAGAGUUCGAAAUGAGACUAUUCGGGAAAAGGUUGGAGUGGCUUACGUAGAGGAAAAGAUGCGGGAAGUCCGAUUGAGAUAGUUCGAGCAUGUGAUGAGGAGGGGAACGGAUGCCCUAAUUCGUAGGUAUGAGUAGCUUGGUUUGGAUGAUUUCAGGUGGGGUAGGGGUAGGCUGAAGAAUUACUGAAGAGAGGUGAUCAGGUGGGACAUGGAGUAGUUACAACUUACUGAGAACAUGACCCUAGAUAGGAAGAUUUAGAGGGCGUGAAUUAGGAUAAAAGGCUAGUGCCAUUUUGAGUUGUUGGGGUAGGACAUUACUUGGUAGACGUAUUAUUCUUGCUAAGACUCUUUGUUGUAUACUUUAUUACGAAUGUGUUUACCAUUUUUGUUUAUUAUCCCUUGUGGGUGGCAUAUUUUUGUCUUGACAUCUUGGUCCAUGCUUUAUUAAGUAUUUGUCUAUUAUUCCUUCUCUUUAGCUGAGGGUCUAUCGGAAACAACCUUUCUACUUCUCUUGAAGUAGUGGUAUAGCUAUAUGGGAAUACACUGGGUUUGUUGUUUUUGUAUUCCUAUUUAUUCUCUAUCAGCAGUGGUUCCACCUAAAAGUGUUUUCAAGAAGCUGCAAAGAAUAGUUGUAAGUUUUUUCUGGCAAACUAAGGAAACAGGGAGAAACAAACAAACAUUGGGCCACUUAGAAUAAUUUAGCUUUACCCCAAAAAGGAUGGUUGGGUUUUAGAUCUAUUUCUGAAGUAGCUAAGGCAAUGCAUGCUAAACUUUUGUGGAGAUUGAACUUAGAAUAAUUUGUGGGUAGAUUAUAUAUGGAAAAAAUAUUAUAAAAAGCAAUUAGCAACAGUGGUGUAAUGGAGAGGGGGUCACAAGUAUGGAAAUCAGUGCUAGAAAUUAGAGAGAAAAUGAAGGAAUUUAUAUGGUGGGAGCCUAUAGGUGGAACUUCUAUAGUGUGGUUUGAUAAUUGGACUAAUACUGGUCCUUUAUUCGAACAACACUCUAAAGUUCUUACUUGUCAUCCUCUAUCUGAUAUUGUGAACUUUCUUACUGAAGAGGGGUGAAAUUAUGAUAUUAUGAGGGAUGAAAUACCAACUCAUGUUGUUGAGCAUGUGAGAAACUAUAUAAACAGUGUAAGCUAUGAAGAUAAGAGGGAUAAACUAUGGUGGACUUGAGAUUCUAAUGGAAAGUUUCCCACAAAGAGUGCUUGGGAAUCUAUAAGAACAAAAGAAGUAGAGGAUGAAGAUCUUAACACCUUAUGGAGUAGAGGGAUACCAUUUAAAUUCAGCUUCUUGGCAUGGAGAAUAUGGAAGGGUUUGAUCCCAGCUGCUGCUUUAUUACAUAGCUGAAAUACUGAGAUCUCUGAAGAAUGUUUUGUGAAAAUCUCAGAAGAGAAGUAAUCUCACAUCUAUUUCUUAAAGGAGAAGUUGCUAAGAAAGUUUAGCAGUAUUUCUAUGUAGGUGCCGAAAUUAUGAGCAAAGUCUAAACUUGAGGCAAAGUAUCAGAAUAUGGAGAAAAAAAGAAGGGAACUAUAACGUAACAAUUGUCUAUAAAGUGGUACCAAUUGUCAUUCUAUGGUUUUUGUGGAAAAGAAUAAAUACUAUUAGGCAUGGAGGAUCUUAUUCUAUUAGUAAGGUUUUCUUGGAGAUUACUGAUUCUAUUGUGAAAUUUAUAAAAGUGAGGUUUAAUAUUGAUAUUAACGGUAGAGAUUAGGUUAGAAUUUUGGAUGAAUUACAAACAUCCAGAGGUGCUACUUCUUUUAAGAUGAUCAAUUGGAAACCUCAUGAAGCUGGGUGGCUUAAAUGUAACACUGAUGGUGUUUCAAAAGAAAAUCCAGGUCCUAGCUCUAUUGCUUUCUGUAUAAGGGAUCAACACGGUAAUAUUUUUGUAGCUCAGGGCAACAGAAUUAGAGAUACUACUAGUCUGGAGGUAGAAGCAAUGGCUAUUAGGGCAUGUCUAAUUUAUUGUAGAAGGAAAUAUAUUUUUCAACUUAUACUAAAAAGUGAUUCAUGGAUUAUGGUUAAGAUACUGAAUGCACAAUGGGAGAAACCUUGGAGUUUGGUUAUACUGGUUAAGUCCAUCACGACAUUGAUGGAAAGUAUAUCAGUUAGGGUGAUACAUUCCCAUAGGGAAGGUAACACUCUAGCAGACUUUCUUGCUAACUAGGUGUUUACUUGUGCAGGUGAAUUUCAUUAUAAUAAUGUAAAGCAAUUACCAAAAAAAGGCAAAGCUAUAUACAAAUUAGACAAAGCAGGAACUCCAAAUAUAUGAAGAUUAGUGCAGGUAGGUAGACUACUAAACAGUAACAAUUGCUACAAUAGGUAGUACCAAUUCAAUGCAGGAACAGGGAACAAUCUUUUUUAAAUAGAUAUAGAAGGGUAUAGGAAUAGUAAAAGAGAAAGAUUCAAGAAGCACCUGAUAUUAUCAAACUCUAGUAUACUGUUGGGAAGGUGUUAACAUGUAGCUUUAGAUUAAACCUAGACAUAUAACAAUCAUCAGGAGGUAAUUAGAUUAUGAAUUCUAUAUCAACAAUUUACCACAGAGAUGAUAAACCGACUGUUAGAAAAGAAUUCUAUUAAACAUCUAACCCACAUCCAGUGAGAUUCAAGGAUGUCAAGGGUUAUGGUGUUCAAACAGUUGGAAUAUCAAUCUAAAGUGGUAUUUUUAGAUGUAUUUAGUAAUAAUCAUCACAAAGCAAUUGAUCUAGAUUUUUUUUCACUAAUCGAUAGUAAGAUGGUGGUAUUAGUUUCUAUGAAAAUCAACCGAUUAACUACUGAUUAACGGAAGGGAAGUCCAAGAACUUAGCUUUUAUGAACCAUGAAGAUGAUGAUUGUAAGUAGGUGAUCAACGGCAGCUGCAUGGUAUCUCAACGGAGGGCCGACGAAUGGUUGAUGGAAAUCCGAUAAAGGCAGAGGAAGAGCAAGAGAUGGAGCUGAGGAAAAUGUUUCCUAAUUUGACCUAUAGAUUUUUUUUUUGAUUUUUUUUAUGGAACUGAACCCGAGUCGACCAUUUGGUCCUGAUUUGGGUUAUAUGAAUCAAUUUUAAUGUUUUUUUUUAAUAAAAUGGGCAUUCAGGUUGAUUUGAUUUAAAAAAAAGGCGUGGCAUUUGAGGUUCUCUAUAAUAAGAUAGUGCUAAUUGUCUUAAGUGCAGAUCUCCUUACUUCUUAUUGUGAUGUUGUCUGAAGAGAUAUACGAGUUACAUUUCUUCUCUGAGAUUUGGUCCCAAAACACAUGUAAACAUCAAAAACUUAACAAUGCAGUACAUAAAAUGAGUA